rnacentral:rRNA from 1 species
GCCAGACUCCUACGGGAGGCAGCAGUGGGGGAUAUUGCACAAUGGGGGAAACCCUGAUGCAGCGACGCCGCGUGUGGGAAGACGGUCCUCUGGAUUGUAAACCACUGUCCCCAGGGACGAAGAUGACGGUACCUGGGGAGGAAGCUCCGGCUAACUACGUGCCAGCAGCCGCGGUAAUACGUAGGUGGCAAGCGUUGUCCGGAUUUACUGGGUGUAAAGGGCGUGUAGCCGGGUUGACAAGUCAGAUGUGAAAUCCUGCGGCUUAACCGCAGAACUGCAUUUGAAACUGUUGAUCUUGAGUACUGGAGAGGCAGACGGAAUUCCUAGUGUAGCGGUGAAAUGCGUAGAUAUUAGGAGGAACACCAGUGGCGAAGGCGGCUUACUGGACUGUAACUGACGUUGAGGCUCGAAAGCGUGGGGAGCAAACAGGAUUAGAUACCCGUGUAA